UCUCACCGGACGCUCCGUCCCCUCUCAGUUUAGAGUAGACGAGGAUGCGGGUCACGUCUGUUUUCUUCAAGUUCAGCCUCGCGUCAGAGGCGUGAGUGGGAGGACUGGUACCGUAGAAUGCCGAUAAUGGAAUUAUUUGUCCCGUUCAGAAAUGACCCUCACAGAGAAAGAUACAGGUGGAACAGACAGGGUCUUCAGGAUUUCCAAAGGAACCUACUUGUAUGUUCAAAAUGAUUCUCCUGCCAGACCAGACAAACACCGCACCACUCAGUGACAUCACCAACGGACAACCCACUAAUGACUCACUUCCGGCACCACCCUCUGAUGAUGUCAUCUCCGAUACCUUCCAAAUCAGUUUCUGUUCCAGUCUUCCCAACUCCACCUCUUCCUCUAUUCAACCAUAUUUCUAGACCAGUUUUCAACCUGUUAGUCAGUUCUGUUGUGGACUCCAGUUUGGAAAGUCAUGUUUCUUUUAUUUUGCUGGCCAAUUUUUCAAGUAUACGGGGUGACCAUCCCCAAACCUU